CAUAUGAUAUUGCAGUCAUGACCAUUGGUCGGGCGGCCGCUUGUACGCACUUCACAAACGGUCGUGGAUCUAACUGGAGCAAGGCAUUUUGGUGGUACAAAAGACCAGAGUAAAGCCACGAUGUUUCACAUUGUUGUUUUUGACAAAACUAAUGAGGUAGAAGUUGUGCCUUCCAUCUGGAUUAAAAAUGGAGAGUGCUUGUGGCCUCCAAAUAAAACUGAUAUAGCCAAAGCUGUCAGAUUGCAAGAUUGUCCUGGAGACGAAUGGAAAGCCCAUAAGGCCAGAAUUAUCUUCACUUCACAUGACUACAAUGAAGCAAGACGAAAAUUACCC